GCUGCCCGUAAGUCUGCUCCCACAACUGGAGGAGUGAAGAAGCCUCACCGUUACUGCCCUGGAAUUGUUGCUCUUCGUGAGAUCCGCAAGUACCAGAAGAGCACGGAGCUGCUCAUCAGGAAGCUUCCAUUCCAGAGGCUUGUUAGGGAGAUUGGCCAGGACUUCAAGACUGACCUCCGCUUCCAGAGCCAUGCGGUGCUGGCCCUUCAGGAGGCUGCAGAGGCCUACCUGGUGGGUCUCUUUGAGGAUCCGUGGCGAGAGA